CAAGGCGACCGUGCUCGUCUUCUGGACGCCCUGGUGUAGCGCGGCGCUGAAGCUGCUCGAACACGUGACCCGCAUGGCGAGGAAGUACAGCACCAAGUACUCGCCUUCAGUGGCUUGCGCUACGCGGAGAAAACCGACAGCCUGAGCACAGGGAGGCAUUUGUCUCAGCAGGUACGGUGCGCAGGCCCUGCUAGCAGGACACCAACCACGUCCACACUGAUGGACGUACUGCACAGUCCAGGCCAGGAUUAUGUGCGACCCACGGACGCCUACGACGUGGUGGGCGUGCCCACCGUCAUCCUCAUACACCCCAACGGU